rnacentral:rRNA from 1 species
GAAUUCAGUGAAUCAUCGAAUCUUUGAACGCACAUUGCGCCCGCCAGUAUUCUGGCGGGCAUGCCUGUCUGAGCGUCAUUUCAACCCUCAUGCCCCUAGGGCGUGGUGUUGGGGAUCGGCCAAAGCCCGCGAGGGACGGCCGGCCCCUAAAUCUAGUG